rnacentral:misc_RNA from 1 species
GAUGAAGAACGUAGCGAAAUGCGAUAAGUAAUGCGAAUUGCAGAAUUCAGUGAAUCAUCGAAUCUUUGAACGCACAUUGCGCCCGCUAGUAUUCCGGCGGGCAUGCCUGUCUGAGCGUCAUUUCAACCCUCGCCCCCGGCUUUUGCUGGGAGCGGUGUUGGGGAUCGGCCGCCCGUCACUGGGAGGCCGGCCCCGAAAUAGAGUGGCGACCACGCCGUGUGCUCCUCUGCGUAGUAGUAAAUCACCUCGCAGGCGGACAGCGGUGCGGCCUGCCGUAAAACCCCCAACUCUUUCUGGUUGACCUCAGAUCAGGUAGGAAUACCCGCUGAACUUAAGCAUAUCAAUAAGCGGAGGA